rnacentral:sRNA from 1 species
UUGACUGGCCAAAUGAGAAUGGUUAUCUUUGAGAUGUGGUGAUCGCCAGUCACCACAUGAACAACCCGAUAUGUCAGGUAUCGAGUGGUUCAUCUCCUCAUCAAGCUAGUCACGGUCCUUGAGCCGCCCGAUUGGGCGGCUUUUUUACGU